UGGGAUGUGGCUCAAAUGGUAGCGCGCUUGCCUGGCACGCAUGUGGCCCGGGUUUGAUCCUCGGCACCACAU
rnacentral:tRNA from 1 species